AAUAAUUGAGCUAUCCUAAGACAUUGUCUAUAAUGUUAUUGUUUUUGGGUCCACGAAAUUGCAGCGACGUGACUAAAGUGGGGAGGAGGAGGGGACAGUGUGUUGGUGUCACGAAUACGAAAGAUAUAAUAUUUGUAGCUCAGAAGUUGGAGAAUGUCAUGUUUUUGAUCUUCUAAUAUACAAGAAUGAUUAAAUAUUAUGAUUAUCGCUUUCAAGGGACCAAUCUUAUCUAACUAAUCCUCGUUUUGAUCAAGCGUCUCCUAACAAUCUACUGAAUCACACAAGUUUUUUUUUUUUUUUUUUUUUUGCUAAAUAGAAUCACACAAGUUACACAACCAAUCUAAGAAAAUUAAAUACAUAAUGGACCUUUGUGGACAAAAAUAUUUUGGAUCCUUUUAGGAUACGAUAUCUUUUUUAUCUAUGACAUACGAAAACUGGACAUGAGCCUCCGACCU
rnacentral:lncRNA from 1 species